AGUCUAUACCGCUCCACAGUGGAGCACUUAGUGCCAGGUUUGGUGUAAGCGAGCUGGAACCUCCGCUCCCAGCCACACUGCCUUUGUUCUCCAGUGCCAACCGCCGCAGCAUCCAGAGAAGAAGGGAACCCCCGGGUGCUUUGUUCUGAAGAAGUGAACACCAAAACAAUAACACACCAGUGGCACACAAGCACUCUGUGGGACUGUGAGGAGAACAAAGAAAAGUGCUAUGUGUUAAAAAGGCAGUCAACGUGCUUGAGCAGCAGCUGGGUGUGGAAAGCAUGGAUAAUAACUAACAGGCUACACUUCACCUAGGGGCCAGAAGUCUUUGCCUGGACUGGACUUCAAGUGUUUCGGAUGGUGAUCAACAGGCACAAGUGACUGAUUGCAUGAUUUUUUGUUGAUUUAUCUAUUUAUUGUGAUAAUGAUGCAGUUCAAUUUUUGGACCUUGUUUAAACACAUAUUUUCUUAGGAAAUUAAUUGAUGUUAGGUGUAAACGAUGCAUAAGAAGCACUUUUUGCUUGAUGGUUUUCAAUUUUUAAAAAAAUGUUUCUUGUGUAAACAGGAGCUGAUUUUUCUUAUAAUAUUUAUGAGUGGAGAAUAAGAGUGAAGACAUUGUUUAAGAGGUGAAAAGGUACAAUAACAACAGCACUAACAUUCUAGAUGCUGAAAUGCAGAGGACUGUUUCAAGAACCAAGUUGUCUCCUGUGGGUACUUGAUUUAUUAUUUACAACCGUUUGGGAAAUGAGCUCUCAGGAGAUUGAAACAUAAUUAUCCAGUUACUUGUUCUUAGUGAGGGAAAAAAGAAAAGACAAAAAACUCCCACAAGGAAUAGUUCAAUGUCUUACAAAACCAUCUGAAAAAAUCUUUCCUUCAUUUUUGAUGAACUACAUUACUGAAUGAUUCUACAAAUGUCACUAUAUUAGGGGCAUAUUAACUUUUUGAGAAGAAAAUAUAGGUAAAUAGCUGACUUUUUAUUUCAAUGUGUGUCCCUGCCUAUUUUUGGUUUUGAAUGGAAGAAGAUUAAAUGGAGAAACAUAAUAUGUUCUGGAAGGGGAAGUGAGCAAAAAAUGGUAGAAGAUUGCAAUGUCUCAGCAGCAAUUGCUUAAGAUCAGUUAUGUCAGCACUAAUGUGAAAUAUUUUGUAUGCUGUUAUUGCUUCUGUAAGAAAAAAGAUCUGUUCUUCAAAGAGGCAAGAGCACCAUCUGUGGCAGUAAUGUGGGAACGAAACUUGUGAGAAGACAUCAUGUUUCCAUCUGUUUUCAGAGAGCCUUAAACAAUGGCAAAAUCCACCGAAUAGCUUCUGCCGUGUGAACUCGUGAAGUGUGUUUUACAUUGUUUUAUGGCUUCUGCAUCUGAACUUAUGCGUGUAAGUCCAGAACGACUGUCUGUCAAGUGCAGCUGCCUUUGUGUAGGGAUGUGUGUGCACUGGAGGGCCCGCACAGCAUCAAAAGGCUGCUGCAGCAGCUGACUUUCAUGUUGGUCAUAUACAAGAUCCUAUAUAUGCUGAAGAGAGCACCUGAAGUCUUUGUCAUGCUCUUCCAUUUCCAAACGUUGGCUUCAGGGUGUAUUUAACCAUGGAUAUUUUAAAGAGUAAAAUGUGAUAAUGCCAUAAUGCCAGCUGAUCAUCAAGUCAUGUUGUCUCCAACCAGGCUAACUGUGUGAUUUAAUGUGGACCUUUGUCGUUACUUUCUAAUCUCACUUUGCUGUACUGCUUGUUGUGAUGUUGGCUUUCAGGGAAGCUCAGAAAUGUGUACCUUUUCAGGGACCGAAGUUAGCUAAAGAGCACCAGAGACUGGCCUUCAAAUGAAGAGGCCAUUUAUCCCUGACAUUCAUUAGUCAGGAAAAUCUGCUUCCUUUUGGCUUUGUGGUGGCAAGGCAUUGCUUGAUAAAUAAAUGAAAAUAAAGCAGAUUCGUUUGCAUUCAGAACCUUAACAGACCCCAAAGGCCAACGGCUCUGGCCAAGUCUGCCACUGCCCAUAUCCUGACUGAACUGCCAAAUCCAAUGGGAUUUUAGAGCUGGUUGCUAUGCAGAUAAUUUCUGGAAUAUGUACUAUUUUAAAAGCCAAAUAUUUUCCCAGUAGUCUUUGCUGAUAAAUCAUAGUAUAGCUAGGUGCUCCUUUAAAUUAAUGCCUGUGAGCCAGUGAGUGAAAGACCUUCCUUGGAGACAUUGGUUUAUCAUCUUGGAGAGCAUCCCCUCUGCCCAGUAGCCAAGCGAGGGUUGGUGCAAGUUCCGGUGCAGUAGUUCUGUACCAGCAGGAGAUUUCUCUUGUGAAAGGCAAAUCCUCAGGAGAGAUAUGGAGGAAAGGAUUUGAAUCCUAAACCACCUGUGAAUCCUUGGGAGACCUGGAGAAGAAGUUUGCUGUGUCGUCUCUGCAGCACAGCAGCCUUACAGGAGCUAACCUGGCCAGAGCUCUCUGGUUUUGGCAGCAAGCUUUGAUCAGGAGUCUGAACAGGGCCUCUCUGAUUUGCUGAACUGGCAGUGUGACAUCAAAAUCAAUUUUUGUCUUCUUGAAAGUAUGUAUAUCUCAGGAUUACACCUCAAAAAUGCCCCAGCAGAAAGCAGUUUUGAUUGGAAGGUAUGUUUUAUCUAGGAAAUCCAAGCAGAAGUUUUAAAAAAUGUAGCUUCAAAUGAAUGAGAAGAAUGAUUGGUAAUAUUGUGGUCUUGUAAAGGUAAGAGAGAAAAACAAGGAAGGAAAGGCUGAAACCCUAUAUGGUGCUUAUGCCAUUUUCCUUUCCUUUUUCAGGAUAUAUGACGGGGGAAAAACUACCCAGUGUAAAGGAAUAUUAAGAAAGAAGGAAGUGCUUACAUGAAAUAACCUUCCAAACUAAUGGGAAUAGAUGUCUUGUGAUUUUAAAUAUAUCCCAGUACUGUGCUAGCACAUGCAAGUUUCAAAUGGAGAGAGUGUCAAAUUCUCAAAUCAAGACAGAAUAAUUCAUCCUAAGAGAUAAUUUAUACCGGCUAAGCUGUCUGAGGCUUUGGAGAUCAGCGUUUGGCAUGUGUUUCUCUACAGCUUGCACGGUGGACCACAACAUAGUAUAUAGAUGAUUCAUAGACUGGAGACUUUCUACACAUGCAGGGUCCAAGGGGGCUUGGCUCGGCUACA